rnacentral:lncRNA from 1 species
CAGGGACCUGUAGGCAGGUGGAGAGGGGAUGGGGGAGGUCUCAGGUCCUCUUGCUCACCCAUCAGCUGUGUAGUGUCUGAAGUGAUUAAGGAGCUUGGGGAGAGCCCUGAAUGGGAAGAAAUGGGUUCCAUGUGCAGCAAGCCAGGAGAGAUUUAGGCAACGAGAACCUCCAGUUCUGUCUUAGGGUUCCCAGCUUUCUCCUUGUCCUGAGGGAGCCGCUGAGCCUGUGGGAGAUGAGGGGUGCCCAUUCCCCAGUGCUUCUCACCCUCCCCCACCUGCCCUCCUGGGGUACCUUUGUCUGCCACUUGCAUCCUAUUGGAAGCUGUCCCCAAGUGCGUGUUAGGCAGGUGGCAGGUGCUGGAGCAGAGUGCACCACCCUCCGGCGAUCACUGUGAGUUGGGGUAAGAGUGGGGUGUUCCUGCCAGCCCCAGGAGAGGGGAAAGCAAGCCCCCGUCCACCCUUGUGGGUCUCUGCUCCUGGAAAAGGUGCUCUAGCAGGCUCAUCUGUGUGAGUCACUGUCUUCCAUGUGGGCCCCUGCCCAUCUGAGCAGCAGAGUUCAUCCCAUACCCUGCAGGGAGUCCAGCGCCACCAUGAUGUCCCUCUCUUCCCUCCUUGAGGCUGGCUGGGUCCAGCCUGAGCUGUGCCACCUGCUGGCUCAGGCCAGUGGGAUUGUGCCUCAGGCAGGCUCCUGCCCUUCCAAGCCAAGGGCUUGGCUGCAGACCCGACAGCGGCUCCCAGAGGGGCUGUGCUGAAGAAGCCUUGGUGAUAUGGGUGCAAAUGCCAAAAACAUGGAAUGCUGGAAGCCAAGCUUGCACAUUCUAGGCAGCCAUUUGGAAGAUUCUUCUCUGCGCAUGACCAGCUGAAAAGGAAAAACCCCGAAACAUUGGCACUGUGAUUUCUCCAUGUGAACAGUUUAGUUCGCCGAGGUGGACAUGCCUCAUUCAUGCUUAUGGAGUGACCGACCAGCCUUUAGUGACACCCCCUGAAAUGUGAGUCAUCCAUGGGUCACUAGUCAUUGGAGAAGAGCCCCUUAUACAAAACUUGGAGCUCAGACCACAAACAACAACAACAAUCCAAAAAAUAAAAAAAUGAAAAAUUAGGAGCAGAGACUAAAUGGAAAGAUGGAAAUAUUAAAAUAAAAAUAUUAUUUUAAAAAUUAA